CACUCGUUUCAACUGCUUUGCUCGACGCACUCAUUACAAAAUCCUACAAAUUCCCAUGUAACCGGAGCCGCAUGAGGAGACUUUCAAAAAUGUUUUAUCUUUGUUUUCUGUCCUCACGGCAAUCUGCAUUUGUUAUUUAUUGCUGUGUUAAAUAUCCAUAUUUUUCGUCAUCCGGCAAAGAUCCUCCAACUCGCCUAACAGUGAGGUACUUGUGACCUUGGUUAAAACAAACUUUGACUGUUUUUCUACACUCGGUCCAACAAUUUCACAUUAUAGUUGACACGAUUCUACGACAUGGCUAACGUGCGUCGCUAUUGUACUUGUAAAUUUUGUCUGACCAGCUCUUCUUUUCAAAAUACAUGGCCAAAAUGGGUUCCAAUAGCUAACUGAUUAGUCACCAUUUUAUGAACAGAAUCCAAGUGGCUUUAUCAGAAACGCUUUAAAAACCAAAGAGAGUAAUUAAAACAAAAAAAAUUCAACAUAGCAUACUUCAUGAGGGAGAAUGGCUGGUCAUUGAGACUUUUCCUUUUCCCUCAACUUCUGUUUAUACAAUGUUUUAGUAUGAGAUUCCUGGGCGAAUCAUUGCCUGCUUGAUUCGAGAAUAAUGCGUGAGCUGUUCGCUAUGUUCAAUUCUGUUAUACAUCGCAAUAUGUCAAAUGUUUUAUUUCUCUAUUCACUGUACAUAAAUGAUACAGGAUAGGUUCAUCAUUGCUUAUAGUCAGCUGGAUAUUAUUCAUUGAUAUAUAAUGAGAGCCUAACAGAACCAGUAUUAUUCAAUUUGGAAAUGAACGAUCUCAGUGUCAAAAUAUUCAUCACCUUCAUAGAAAAAUAUCCCAAAACAAUCGCUAACUUACACUACCUGGGUACCGCGAUAUAGAUAAGUAAAUUACAAGGAAAAUUCACCACAGCUUAAGGCAUCAUUAAAACCGGAUUACAAUUUCAUGGUUAAUAUAAACGCUUAAUUCUCUUUCAGUAGUGCGGUUGAAUUCUCACUAAAACAGAUUAACGAACUCUUCAAUAUUGCUCCCAAUCAUCCGACACACGGAUUUACUCUAAUCUACGAUUGUUGAUUACUUAUUGCAGUUUGCACAGUUUUGGGAUUUAGCUAUUUUUCAUUCUGCCUAAUUAUCACGCCUUACUGUAUCGACGUUUCUUUGUUGAUCUUUAACA